rnacentral:rRNA from 1 species
UACGGAGGGUGCAAGCGUUAUCCGGAUUCACUGGGUUUAAAGGGUGCGUAGGUGGGCAGGUAAGUCAGUGGUGAAAUCUCCGGGCUUAACUCGGAAACUGCCAUUGAUACUAUCUUUCUUGAAUACCUUGGAGGUCAGCGGAAUAUGUCAUGUAGCGGUGAAAUGCUUAGAUAUGACAUAGAACACCAAUUGCGAAGGCAGCUGGCUACACGAAUAUUGACACUGAUGCACGAAAGCGUGGGGAGCAAACAGG